UCAAUGUAUCCCCAGCGGGUCAUCUUUCAUUCACCUUUUGUUGGUAAUGAUUGUUUCUCCUUUUGAUUGGUCAUCAUUUUAUACCUAGUAUUCGGUAUCCCGAUGCCCUUUUCUUCCGGUCGAUUUAUCCUUUAUUAACCCAGUAACCGGUUGUGGAUAAUCUUCCAUGCGAGUAUGUUAUCUACGUUCUGACGGUAAUAGAUAAUAUAUCUCAUGCGCUCUUUGGUCGAAGUCUUUUG
rnacentral:lncRNA from 1 species